GUCGAACGAACCUUCGGGUUAGUGGCGGACGGGUGAGUGACGCGUGGGAAUCUGCCCUCAGGAGGGGGAUAACGGUUGGAAACGGCCGCUAAUACCCCAUAUGCCGAGAGGUGAAAUGAAUUUCGCCUGAGGAUGAGCCCGCGUCUGAUUAGCUAGUUGGUGAGGUAAGAGCUCACCAAGGCAUCGAUCAGUAGCUGGUCUGAGAGGAUGAUCAGCCACACUGGGACUGAGACACGGCCCAGACUCCUACGGGAGGCAGCAGUGGGGAAUUUUCCGCAAUGGGCGAAAGCCUGACGGAGCAACGCCGCGUGAGGGAUGAAGGCCCCUGGGCUGUAAACCUCUUUUAUCAAGGAAGAAGAUCUGACGGUACUUGAUGAAUAAGCCACGGCUAAUUCCGUGCCAGCAGCCGCGGUAAUACGGGAGUGGCAAGCGUUAUCCGGAAUUAUUGGGCGUAAAGCGUCCGCAGGCGGCCCAACAAGUCUGCUGUUAAAAAGUGGAGCUCAACUCCAUCAUGGCAGUGGAAACUGUUGGGCUCGAGUGUGGUAGGGGCAGAGGGAAUUCCCGGUGUAGCGGUGAAAUGCGUAAAUAUCGGGAAGAACACCAGUGGCGAAGGCGCUCUGCUGGGCCAUCACUGACGCUCAUGGACGAAAGCCAGGGGAGCG
rnacentral:rRNA from 1 species